rnacentral:rRNA from 1 species
GACGAACGCUGGCGGCGUGCUUAACACAUGCAAGUCGAACGGAAAGGCCCUGCUUUUGGGGGGUGCUCGAGUGGCGAACGGGUGAGUAACACGUGAGUAACCUGCCCUUGACUUUGGGAUAACUUCAGGAAACUGGGGCUAAUACCGGAUAGGAGCUCCUGCUGCAUGGUGGGGGUUGGAAAGUUUCGGCGGUUGGGGAUGGACUCGCGGCUUAUCAGCGUGUUGGUGGGGUAGUGGCUUACCAAGGCUUUGACGGGUAGCCGGCCUGAGAGGGUGACCGGCCACCUUGGGCCUGAGAUACGGCCCAGACUCCUACGGGAGGCAGCAGUGGGGAAUAUUGCACAAUGGGCGGAAGCCUGAUGCAGCAACGCCGCGUGCGGGAUGACGGCCUUCGGGUUGUAAACCGCUUUCGCCUGUGACGAAGCGUGAGUGACGGUAAUGGGUAAAGAAGCACCGGCUAACUACGUG